AGCAGCCGCGGUAAUUCCAGCUCCAAUAGCGUAUAUUAAAGUUGUUGCAGUUAAAAAGCUCGUAGUUGAAUUUCGGGAUCGACGUGACGGUCGUGCCUUACGGGGCAUGAACUGUCGCAGUUGAUUUCUCACCUUCUGGAGAAGCUCGAUGUCCUUAAUUGGGUGUCUUGCGGAACCAGGACCUUUACCUUGAAAAAAUUAGAGUGUUUAAAGCAGGCAUUUUUGCUCGAAUACAUUAGCAUGGAAUAAUAGAAUAGAACGGCAUGGUUCUAUUUUGUUGGUUUCUAGGAUCACCGUAAUGAUUAAUAGGGAUAGUUGGGGGCAUUAGUAUUCAAUUGUCAGAGGUGAAAUUCUUGGAUUUAUUGAAGACUAACUACUGCGAAAGCAUUUGCCAAGGAUGUUUUCAUUAAUCAAGAACGAAAGUUAGGGGAUCGAAGACGAUCAGAUACCGUCGUAGUCUUAACCAUAAACUAUGCCGACUAGGAAUCAGA
rnacentral:rRNA from 1 species